GUAGGGAAUAUUGGGCAAUGGUCGGAAGACUGACCCAGCCAUGUCGCGUGCAGGAAGACGGCCCUCUGGGUUGUAAACUGCUUUUAUCUGGGAAGAAAAAGGCCAUGCGUGGCAAAUUGCCGGUACCAGAUGAAUAAGCACCGGCUAACUCCGUGCCAGCAGCCGCGGUAAUACGGAGGGUGCGAGCGUUGUCCGGAUUUAUUGGGUUUAAAGGGUGCGUAGGCGGCUGAUUAAGUCAGCGGUGAAAGACUUCGGCUUAACCGGAGCAGUGCCGUUGAUACUGGUUGGCUUGAGUGUCGGAGGGGUACAUGGAAUUGAUGGUGUAGCGGUGAAAUGCAUAGAUACCAUCAGGAACACCGAUAGCGAAGGCAUUGUACUGGCCGACAACUGACGCUGAUGCACGAAAGUGUGGGGAUCGAACAGGAUUAGAAACCCGAGUAGUCC
rnacentral:rRNA from 1 species